UCAAGACGAGGAUAACCGUUGGAAACGAUGGCUAAGACUGGAUAGGAAUACGGGAGGCAUCUUCUGAUUUUUAAAAGACCUGGCAACAGGUAUGCUUGAGGAGGGGCCUGCGGCGCAUUAGUUAGUUGGUGAGGUGAUGGCUCACCAAGACGAUCGAUGCGUAGCCGGACUGAGAGGUUGAACGGCCACAUUGGGACUGAGAGACGGCCCAAACUCCUACGGGAGGCAGCAGUAGGGAAUUUUCGGCAAUGGGGGAAACCCUGACCGAGCCAACGCCGCGUGAACGACGAAGUACUUCGGUAUGUAAAGUUCUUUUAAGAGGGAAGAAUGGCCCGUGGAAAAGCGGGCGUGACGGUACCUUUUGAAUAAGCCCCGGCUAACUAUGUGCCAGCCGCUGC
rnacentral:rRNA from 1 species